GGAUUGUGAUGAUUGAUAUUCUAUUUCUUAUAGUUUAUGUGAUGAUUCAACACCUCCUACUCAUUCUGA
rfam:Jatropha curcas cultivar GZQX0401 scaffold341_22, whole genome shotgun sequence.